ACAAAAUGGAGAAAACGGCGGAACAUAGCUGGUGCUUAUGGUGUGGUUGAUGAGGAUUGUGUGGAUAACCCGUCUGUCAUCCACGGACAGUAAACUGAUCGCGAACAGUUGAACUAGCACAGAAGCGAGCACGUUCCUGUCUAAGGGUCAAGCUAGCAGCUGUCUAACUACGCUACUGUAGCUAGCGACAUUAGAGCAGUUAGCAGACUUUGCUAACCUUCGGGUGGAGACCGAAGGUUACAUUGCUAAUUGUGAGAGGACGUUCCCUUCUCUUCUUCCUGUGACACACACACAGAGGUUGUCCAGCUGUUCUUCCUGUUAGAACUCCAUCAUCCCAAAUCUGAGGGACAUGCGUCUUCUUUUGGACCAAAGAAACUUUCAACCUGUCAGAUCAGAUGUCUUCUAGAAGGAAACCUGUGAAUGCCACAGCAUUUCUGAUAAUAGUGAUGACAGUCUUCAGUGGUCUCAGCCUCACAUGUCAUCCAGGAGAGUAUCAGAUUGGAAACGAAUGCUGUCCAAAGUGCCCUCCAGGUAAGAAUCA